GAGUGCUAGGGUUUCGAUGAUCGGCUCAGAGCUAGGAGACAAAGAAAGACCAGGUGGAACCCGUACAAUCGCAUUCUUUUCGGAGCAAACGACGCCGCACGAUGGCAAACGUGGCAGGUGAGAGAGCCAGAAGCCUAAUGUGUCACCUGGUGCUUGGAUUCUGCGUCUCUGGUCUUUCGUCCUCUGGAAAAGAGAAAGAGAGAUCAAGGGUCGUC
rnacentral:misc_RNA from 1 species